rnacentral:rRNA from 1 species
UAAGAAAUUAUUUGUUUAAAUUUUAGUAUUGCAUACUGUAAGAGGAAAAUUAAUACUUGUUGUGUUAAAUAGAAAGGAAAGGUAGAAACUAUUGGGGGUUUUUUGUUACAAAAAAAAUUUUAUUGAGUUUUAGGGUUGAGAUGUCGACUUUUCUUAUAUCUGUUUUUUUUUAAUAAUUAGAAAUUUGUUUUUGUGUUUUUUUUUGGAUAGUUCAAGUGGGGCUUGUAGUGUUUGAUUUUUGGAGUUCUGUAACGCAGGAUUUAUUUAAAGAGGUUGGAAUUAUUAUUUCAUUAAUUUUUUGAUGAAUAAAAAAUCUUUUAAUUAGUAUUUUUAGUUUGUGAAAUUUUGGUAUUAAAAUUUAGUUGGAGAAAUCAGUAUUGGGUCGAAUGUUUUUUAAAGACUGAGGUUUUUAAUUUGAAGCUGCCUUCUGCUCUAUGAUUUGUUUUAAAUGGCAGUCUUAGCGUGAGGACAUUAAGGUAGCGAGAUAGAUUGUGCUUUUAUGGGGUUCUUGUAUGAAUGAAGUCUUCGGCUUAUGAUUUUCUUUCUUUUAAGAAGAAUUUUUUUCUUUAUAAAAAAAUAAAGAUAUAAUUAAACAAAGAUAAGUCUUUGGAAAUUUUGUUGUUGGGAUUUUUCUAGGGUAGAAGAUUAGGUAACUAGUUUUACUAUUAAUAAUUAAAAAAAAUUACUCCAGAGUUAACAGGAAAUCAUGCUAGAUAGAGUAGUUAUUGUAUAGUAAGUUUCACAUCGAUGUUGUAUACCUUUUAUUCAAGAGGGGAGGAGGUUUGUGUUUUUGAGACUGUUCUUCUUCUGUAUAAAGGGACUUGAUAUUAGUUUAAUUCAUCGCGAGAUAGAAUUGUUUAUCUUGUUAGUUAUUUAGUUGGAAAAAUGUAUUAGUACGAAAGGAAUUUAGUUUGGGGUUUUAAACUUUUGAAAAAAGUAUUUUUU